GAUGGGUGCAGCAUAUCUUGCUCUGACUGCCAUGGCUCAUCAUUCAUUCACUCACUCAUUCAUUCUUUCCCAGGACCCCUACCACCACCACUAGCUUUAUCUGAAUGCCCUAGGGCUAUUUAAUUUUCCUAGGGGCACUUACGACUCGAUGAGACCAUCUUUUGUAUGUAUUUGCUUCUAUAGAGUGGGUCUCCCCAGCUUGAGAAUAAGCUUUAUGAGAGCAGGCACCUUGGCAGUCUUCAUCAUGCUGUGGGGUGAGCUGUAUUGGUACUCAGGGAUUACUACUCAAGGACUGACUGGCUGAAUUAUGUAAAUGGUUGUUGAGUGGCUACCAUGGUGCAGACACUGGACUAGGUGAGGGGACAUGCAAUCAAAGCAGCCUUCUUAAGAGAGCAUGGCCAGAGAGAGAGCAGGGAUGUGCACCCCUACAGGAUGACCUGACUGCGGGCACCAUAGGGUCUGCUGCUGGGGAGGCACAGAGGAGAUGCGUGUUUGAGCCCCAAGCCAGGAUUCCUCCCCGGCACCUGCAGCCCCAUCUCCAAGCUCACUUCCCUGGGAAUCUCACCCACUAGCAUAAGAGCUCCUCCAGAGUCACACAUGUCUCUCUAAGGGCAGAGCCAUAAUGUUACAUUUGCCUAUAACAUUACUUGACUGCCUCUCUAUACUGUUUCCAAAAGUUCUGUGGACAGCCCUGCUUGGGACCAUAACUCCAUGCAUCCAUAUGGCCUCCAUGCCUACCAUGGCGUCCAGUUCUGGGGCACCCAGUCACUCUCUGUUGAACAAAGGAAUGGACAGGGAAGAGUUAUGGGUAUCUGGUGGCACCACUGGUCAUCAAGGAAUUUCCCCAACCUGGCAGAGCAAACUGAGGAGCCCUCAGAUCAAGUACAAAGGACCCCAGAACCUUGGGGAGGUGGUGAAUAUAAAGGAUCUUCUUGGACUUUGAGUCAUUCUAGCCCUCUGGGCCAUCCCAAGAGUCAGAUUCCUUCAUAACUUUGGAGAACAUUCUAGUCCUCGAAUAUUCUCUACCCCAUUUUCACAAAGUUGUCGACCAGCAUACAUUUGGUUAUCCCCCUCUCUCAUGAUGGUGAAUUCACCACCACUUAUUUAGGCCCAUUCUAUCUUUGGACAGCUUUAAUUGUAAGAAAGUCUUCCCCCAUAGCAAGUGUAUAUACAUUCACUGGUCUUUGUUCUUUGCUCUCAAGAUUAACAGAAUCAAUAUGGCUUCUGUUCCAACUAGAAGCCCUUAGAAUCUGAAGAUCCUCUGCCCCUUGAGUCUUCUCCCCCAGUUUGACAUUCCCAUGUCCUCUUUCUGGUCAUGGCCUGUUCUCACCAUCUUGAUUUCUCCCUCCGGACCUUGCUGAUUGUCCCUGUCCCUCUUAAAAUGGACCACACACUCCCAACAGGGUCUGACCAUCACAGAUCUGGGGCCUCUGCACCCCCUCAUUCUGGGUCCUAAAGUUCUCUUCAUACUGCUCAAAGUCAGGCCACUACUUCUGGCAAGGUGCUAGCUCUUACCAGCCCUGACCCAACCAGAAUCACCCUGUCUGCCCACUGGUGUCAUUCCAUUGCCCACACAUCAUGCCCUUGUGCAGAGGAUGGUUUGAGGACCAAAGAACCAGACUGUGCCUCUGUCCCUGUUCGAUGCCAUCUGGUCAAAUCUGGGCCUCAAAUUAAGUUUAGAUCUGGAUUCCGUCAUCCAGCAUUGCUCCCAACUAUGUGUUAGCAGCCUUCAGUUCUUGAGAAUGGCAGUGUGCUCAGCCAGCAUGCCACUGAAAAGUGCCACCACCAGUAGAGACUUCCCUCUAAGUUGACAAACACACAUUAAUCACCGUUAUUUGGAGAUGAAAUUCCUACCAGUUAUAUCUACUAUCCUAUCAUCCUACCCACAGUUAACCAUUUUGUCCCUAAACAUGUCCCAG
ensembl:lncRNA